rnacentral:rRNA from 1 species
UGAAAUUGAACUCGCUGUGAAGAUGCAGUGUACCCGCGGCAAGACGGAAAGACCCCGUGAACCUUUACUAUAGCUUGACACUGAACAUUGAGCCUUGAUGUGUAGGAUAGGUGGGAGGCUUUGAAGUGUGGACGCCAGUCUGCAUGGAGCCGGCCUUGAAAUACCACCCUUUAAUGUUUGAUGUUCUAACGUGGACCCGUGAUCCGGGUUGCGGACAGUGUCUGGUGGGUAGUUUGACUGGGGCGGUCUCCUCCUAAAGAGUAACGGAGGAGCACGAAGGUUGGCUAAUCCUGGUCGGACAUCAGGAGGUUAGUGCAAUGGCAUAAGCCAGCUUGACUGCGAGCGUGACGGCGCGAGCAGGUGCGAAAGCAGGUCAUAGUGAUCCGGUGGUUCUGAAUGGAAGGGCCAUCGCUCAACGGAUAAAAGGUACUCCGGGGAUAACAGGCUGAUACCGCCCAAGAGUUCAUAUCGACGGCGGUGUUUGGCACCUCGAUGUCGGCUCAUCACAUCCUGGGGCUGAAGUAGGUCCCAAGGGUAUGGCUGUUCGCCAUUUAAAGUGGUACGCGAGCUGGGUUUAGAACGUCGUGAGACAGUUCGGUCCCUAUCUGCCGUGGGCGCUGGAGAACUGAGGGGGGCUGCUCCUAGUACGAGAGGACCGGAGUGGACGCAUCACUGGUGUUCGGGUUGUCAUGCCAAUGGCACUGCCCGGUAGCUAAAUGCGGAAGAGAUAAGUGCUGAAAGCAUCUAAGCACGAAACUUGCCCCGAGAUGAGUUCUCCCUGACCCUUUAAGGGUCCUGAAGGAACGUUGAAGACGACGACGUUGAUAGGCCGGGUGUGUAAGCGCAGCGAUGCGUUGAGCUAACCGGUACUAAUGAACCGUGAGGCUUAACCUUACAACGCCGAAG